rnacentral:lncRNA from 1 species
AGACGUGUGUUUAUAAAUUGUGGUAAUUCUCAUCCUAUAAAUUAAUUUUGUAAGAUUGAGUUAGAUCCAACCAUCAUUAAAAAAAUAAGAGAAAAAGAAAAUAGAAAAAAAAAUCAUGAAUGUUUUGACAAUGUGUGAAUGCAAAUCAAUGAUGAUCAAAUAAAGAAAACUAAAAGAAGUGUAUGGUUUUGGGAAACAAGGGCAUGUGAUGAGAUACAUGGAAAGGUGAGACGCAGUAAAGGAUGAAUCAAAAGUGAUUUUAGAAAGCAAUAAAAAAAUGG